rnacentral:rRNA from 1 species
AAGAUGGAGGAAGGUGGGGAUGACGUCAAGUCAUCAUGGCCCUUAUGUCCAGGGCGACACACGUGCUACAAUGGCCGGCACAACGGGAAGCGAGUUCGCGAGGACGAGCGGAUCCCUCAAAGCCGGUCGCAGUUCGGAUUGAAGUCUGCAACUCGACUUCAUGAAGCUGGAAUCGCUAGUAAUCGUGGAUCAGCCAAGCCGCGGUGAAUACGUUCCCGGGCCUU